AGGAGGAGUGUAGGAGGGAGAGACAAGCCAGUUUUUCUGCUUCUGAGGGCACUUCUAGUCACAUGGUGGUAGGGGCAGUGGGUGACUGAGCACCUGGAGAACAGAAAAGCCAUGAACCGAUGGGAAGAUGGGUGCAAAUGGGACAUGUUUGGGGCAGAAGUAAGUGGAUGAAUAGGGAAGAGAGGAGGAGUUCAACUUUGGAUAUAGAAAGUUUGAGAUGCCUAGUAGCUAUCCACAUGGGGAGAUCAAUAAGUGACUAGAUAGUUUGGAGCUGGCUGUAGAUAUAGGUCUGAAAGUUAGUGAUGUCGUUUGAAAGCCAUGAGAUUAGGUGAGCUCACUGAGGAAUAGAGAAAAAGAGGACCACCCCCGAAUCCAGGCUGUCUGACAUGAAAACUCAGGGAGGAGAAGAGAAACUGACAAAAACAGAUUGAAAAAGAGGGAUCAGUGUUGUAGGAGGAAGAUCUCAGAGAAGAGACAGGGACCAACUUUGUCAGAUGGGCUGCUGUGUCAAAACCGCAUGGACGCUGAAUGGACGGCUGACGUCAGCAACAUAAAGAUUCGAAGCCAGGGUUGAGUCCUCCUAACAGGGCGAGUUCUCUGACAAGGAAGUUUUGCAAGCAAAUUUACAGCUGGAGUCAAGCUCGUCAGUGAGGGCCAGAGGGGAACUGUCGCAAUCCACUGGGUGUUUGAAAAAUGCCUCUAACGUGUGUGGGCUAGAAUACAUUUUGUUUUUCUGUGGGCAUAUUCAUUUAACAAGGGCAGCCUUUGAGGAACGAUCAAAAACUGUUUGUCAUUUUUCCAAAUCAUCUCUCUCUGCGGUGACCAUGACUUAAUCCUGAAGGAAAACAAGUCUUUUCCCUUCUGGUCUCUGCGCUCUUGAAGGACAUUUGGGCCUGAAGUCCCAGGACUUAAGGCUGAUCCCGGCACAGAUGAGGACAGGAAGAGGUGGUAAAGAAAAUAAGCUUACAAAUAUAGCCUACGAAACCACGCAUGAGUAAAUAAAGAACUAGGAGACGCCACUGCAGAGGAGAAGACGAGAAGCACCUGAGGGCAGAGGUGGGAAUGGGUGCAGAAGGGACUCUGACACAAUCGGAGAAGCUCCCACAAGCAUGGUGCCUGAUGCCUGACACAGCAAAGUGUAUCUGCUCUAUUGCAAACGUCUUUACCUUUUUCAGAUGAGAGUUCCAUUAUUUCACAAUGACAAAUUUUACUUUGUUUUUCUGCAUCAUGGUGACGUAAGGUCAUGUUCCCAGGGUUGUGGGAUCGAGCCCCGCAUCAGGCUCCUCGCUGAGUGUCGAGUCUGCUUAAGAUUCUGUCUCUCUCUCCCUCUGCCUUUCCCCAACUCGAGUGUAUGCUCUCUCUUUCUCUCUGUCUCAAAAAAAAAAAAAUAGUAUUUGAGGCUGGAGUUUCCUUACCUGUGAAGUAAGGCAGAUCAACCAAUUCAUCCAGAAGAGCAUCCCUUUCAAAGUUUAGACACUACAAAGACUUCAAAUAGCAUCCUCUGUUUCUACAUUUACUGGCCUUCUGUUAAGAUAACAUGUCUUACAAACCACAGUCCAGAAGCCAGGCAUUGCAGCUUGGCAUCAGCUCAGCCUACGAGAGAAAAAUUCCAUCUCGUUUUAUUUAUUUUUAAAUGUUUGUUUAAUGUGAGAGAGAGAGAGAGAGAGCAGGGGAGGGGCAGAGAGAGGGGGAGAGAGAGAAUCCCAAGCAGGCUCCGCAUUGUCAGCACAGGGCCUGAGGCAGGGCUCAAUCCCACGAACUGGAAGUUCACGACCUGAGCCGAGGUCAAGAGUCAGAUGCUUCACCCACUGAGCCACCCAGGGGUCCGUCACCUCAUUUUAUUUUUACAGAAGUCACAAGAUCAUCCCUUUGUAGCUGUAACAUUUCUUCACUUAAAUAUAGCCUAGGACAGACUGGUGAAGAUUUUGUUACUGGUGGCAGGUUACUGAUGGCAGAAAGAGUUUCAGCAAAUGCCUCAAUCUAGUGUUACUAGAUUUGCAAGUGAGUAACAGUGAGUUUCAUCCAACGUAUAAUAAAUAUCCUGAACUUUCCCUGUCCAGAAGCAAAACAAAAUUGAAAGAACUCAAACCUUUUCCUAUGGACCUAAGUUGGAAGCAUAUCAAAUUCUUCAUCUUAGAAUUUAGACUUUUCGAGAAAUCUGCUUUCAUGUUAUGUUUAAUUUGACUACGCCUGGGAAUGCAUUUGUGUGUGUUGUUAUGAUGUCAGGUAGAGGGAGAAAGAGACAGACAAAGGGCGGGGGCGGGGAGGGUGGAGGAGGGAAGGGGGAGACUGUUGUGCUGUGUUCCCCAGAGUUUAGUGUAGGUCUACAGCUUAAAGAUCAACAUCAUCUUGAAGAUGACAUGAGAAAAGGAGAAGAUAGAAAGGGCAUAAGUGUUUAUGGACCACAUUGGUGCACUUAGCCUCUGACACUGGAUUCUUUUGAUUUCAAAACAGUUUUUAAUGUUAGUUUCAUUGUUUUGAUGUAAAUGAAAAUAUCUCCUGCUUUAUGAACAAAUGUGUCAAUUAAUAUGGCGCUGUAUCUUAAUAAAGUAAUAUAUGUUCACCUUAACAACCUUGGAAGACCCUAUCUGACUUUUACGAACUGAACGUUUUCCCUCACUGCAGAUUGAAAUUGACAUUUUACUUCUCUGCAGGUGAGCAUGUGACAGUUUCAGCUACAUGGUAACUCAACACAAGGGUCAUAUACUGGCUAUUACCAUGCUCUUCCAGAUUUA